rnacentral:rRNA from 1 species
CCUACGGGAGGCAGCAGUGAGGAAUAUUGGUCAAUGGGCGAGAGCCUGAACCAGCCAAGCCGCGUGAAGGAUGAAGGAUCCAUGGUUUGUAAACUUCUUUUAUAUGGGAAUAAAGUGAGGAACGUGUUCCUUUUUGUAUGUACUAUAUGAAUAAGCAUCGGCUAACUCCGUGCCAGCAGCCGCGGUAAUACGGAGGAUGCGAGCGUUAUCCGGAUUUAUUGGGUUUAAAGGGUGCGUAGGUGGUUAAUUAAGUCAGCGGUGAAAGUUUGUGGCUCAACCAUAAGAUUGCCGUUGAAACUGGUUGACUUGAGUAUAUUUGAGGUAGGCGGAAUGCGUGGUGUAGCGGUGAAAUGCAUAGAUAUCACGCAGAACUCCGAUUGCGAAGGCAGCUUACUAAACUAUAACUGACACUGAAGCACGAAAGCGUGGGGAUCGAACAGGAUUAGAUACCCCAGUAGUC